AUUGAACGCUGGCGGCAUGCCUUACACAUGCAAGUCGAACGGCAGCGGGGGAGAAGCUUGCUUUUCCUGCCGGCGAGUGGCGAACGGGUGAGUAAUACAUCGGAACGUGCCCUGUAGUGGGGGAUAACUAGUCGAAAGAUUAGCUAAUACCGCAUACGACCUGAGGGUGAAAGUGGGGGACCGCAAGGCCUCAUGCUAUAGGAGCGGCCGAUGUCUGAUUAGCUAGUUGGUGGGGUAAAGGCCUACCAAGGCGACGAUCAGUAGCUGGUCUGAGAGGACGAUCAGCCACACUGGGACUGAGACACGGCCCAGACUCCUACGGGAGGCAGCAGUGGGGAAUUUUGGACAAUGGGCGAAAGCCUGAUCCAGCAAUGCCGCGUGUGAAGAAGGCCUUCGGGUUGUAAAGCACUUUUGUCCGGAAAGAAAUGGCUCUGGUUAAUACCUGGGGUCGAUGACGGUACCGGAAGAAUAAGGACCGGCUAACUACGUGCCAGCAGCCGCCGUAA
rnacentral:rRNA from 1 species